GACAGAGGGUGCAAACGUUGUUCGGAAUUACUGGGCGUAAAGCGCGUGUAGGCGGCUUUGCAAGUCGGGUGUGAAAUCCCACGGCUCAACCGUGGAGUGCAUUCGAAACUGCGAGGCUAGAGUCCUGGAGAGGAAGGUGGAAUGCUUGGCGUAGAGGUGAAAUUCGUAGAUAUCAAGCGGAACACCGGUGGCGAAGGCGGCCUUCUGGACAGUGACUGACGCUGAGACGCGAAAGCGUGGGGAGCAAACAGG
rnacentral:rRNA from 1 species